rnacentral:lncRNA from 1 species
CAUUUAGUUUUGCCCCAUUGACUGAUGGUUGUCAUGGAUAGUGACUCUGGAGUUAUGCAUAAUUAAACGCCUCUUGCCAGGCGUUAAGUACUGAUCUUGUGAAGCACUACUUCUGCUUCAAAAUCAGACUUUACCUCUUUUUCUAGCUGCUAUUUAUAGUGUACGCCAUUCAUUUUUGUUUCUGAUGGAUAACUGAAAAAUCGUCUUGAUGAAGGUAAAAGACUUGUGAGAUUAUCUAAUUUCGUCUUGAUGCUCAAGUCAUCCUUGAGCUGAACUGCCUCUUGAUGAAUGUAGAUUGCCAGUCAUUCUUCUGAUUACCGGAAUUGUACUCGUCCAGUCACCCUUGAGCUGAACUGCCAGAAUGUUUAGUGAUAUGCUGAUGAAUGGUACAAACUUGAGCUGUCUGCGCUGAUUGUUUUGUUUGAGUGGCAAGCUGGUUUUGUGUAAAUGAUGGUGUGUCAUCUUGGCUUAUGGUGCAUGAACAAAGUUCACGUCUAGCAGAUUCCCUAAAAACAGCUUUUAAAGCUGAAGACAACUACUUUAUGUAGCAUGGCAAUUCGGCCAGCUACGUCGGCAAUUCCCCUUUUUUUUUCUUGGCAUGACAAUUCUCUCUGGUGCAACAUGGAAAAUCCUUGGAACGCAUGACAAUUCUCUCUGCUGCAGCAUGGCGAAGUUCAUGAAACACAUGACACUUUUCUCUGUUUAGCACAAUAAUUAUUUCUUCUUAGCAUGGCAAACCUCCAUGUUAUAGCAUGACAAUUCCUAGCCUCCUUUGGUUUGUAGGAAUCUUGUAGGAAUUUCAUAAGAUAGGAUUUUCGAAGGAAAAAUUCCCAUGGGGUCCUUUGGCCUAUUCCUAUGUAGGAUAGGAAUCAAUCUUUCACAUUUCAAAGGAUAAAAAACAUUAGCCUAGACUUAAUGGAAAAAUCCCUAUCCUAUGCAUCAAAUGACAUGCCUUUCUCUAUAGGAAUUGAGAUGCAUGUCAUCUCACUUCCUAUGAUUUUCCUGUUCCUAUGAUAUUUCUAUCCUAUGAACCAAAGGAGGCCUGAAUGUUUUCUGGAGUAGAUUUUUGAGAUAACACUCUGGGGUGGCGCCGUUCGCUCGAAUGAGCCUCCCUGAGGGCACGUCCGUUUAUGCCAGAGUUCUCCCGUAGGGAAUGUCAUCGCCUAUAAGGGUCUCAUAUGUGUGUGUUUAUACUCAAAACUUCUACUUCUAGUUGACACAUAUAUCUAACCAAACAAAGUCCGAUUGGUCAUCAAACAUUUUUUUUAUGUGGGGCAUCAAAUAUUUCAAUAGCAUUAGAAAGUAGAUAGUUCAAAUAUAGGGGGAGGAUGCUGUUGGCGUGGUUCCGCACACAUAUAUUAGAGCUCUUGCUGGAGGUACCAAUCUUGCAAGCUCCGCCUCUCCUCUAUAUCCAUGAGGAGCUUCAGUUACCAACCCAGCAAGUUCUUGGGACAGAGGUAGGUAGGCGUGGAGGCAAGAGGAGCUUCAGUUACCAACCCAGCAAGGUUGAUGUCUUGCUUGGGAGCAGAUGCUGAUUGGACUGAAGUUCCUACGGUGGAAAUUUUAGUUCUUUUCCUCUUAGGCUUAGGCAGUGGGGCUUUCUCUUGUGAACUAACAACUAUUUCUUGCUCAGGAAAAGAUCGUGCAUCCAUGUUAAUCUCUGAAUAAUGGACGCAUUCAAAUAUGUUCCUGAUGUCAUGAAGCAAACAAGCAAACAAGUUGAACACUGACAAGCUGAGCACAACAAGUGAUGAGUGGAUUUUACACUCAUAUUUUCUUGAAUUUUAAAAUGAAUAUUCUUAGAUAUUCUCUGCGAUUAUCUCUUCAAUUAACUAAUAUUCGCUAAUAAUUUGCAAAGGUGCGCAAAUCACCCUGCUUUAACUUUUUGUUGAAGAUAUGGAGAUAAUCCGGAGGAAAUAAAUACAUAAUCAGCAAGCACUUAAAAGUGGAUUAAACAUAGGAUUUAGUUUAUUUGAUUGCAUAAUAGAAAAACCAAAAUGCUUUUUCGAGAGGCUUGAGUGAAUGCAAAAUUCCCUAAAAUGUAAUACAAAUGAAUCCUUGAAAAAUCCUAUUACCUCCGUGGGAAAAUAAGUGACGUGGUUUUAGUUCAAAUUAAAACCACAUCACUUAUUUUCGAAGUGAGGGAGUAUAAGAUUCAAAAUCCUACCCCUCCAUCUCAAAAAUAAGUGCCUCAACUUUGUACUAACUUUAGUAUAAUUUUGUAAUAAAGUUGAGACACUUACUUUGAGACGGAUGGAGUAUUAAUCAAGCACAUGAUAGAACCCCAACUCUCCGGUAACUCUUACCAUGCCAUCACCUCCACCCUUCGCUCCUGCAACCCAAUCUCUCAUGUAACCCUAACCACGUCGUUACUACCGCCCCUCUUCUCCUUCUCCCCCUUGCCACCGCCAAGAAAAGCUUACUGGCAACUGGUGGCGCCGGUAUCCUCUUCUCAUGUGGCAGCAUCAGGAACUUUCAACAAGAUCUCAUGGGGGUUGCGCGUCCAAGCCUGCACGCGGCAGCUACAUCAUCCCAGAUGAGACUGCCCUAUGCGGAUGUGGACCGUGUCCCUAGAGUGUGCAGUGCUUGCUGAGCGGUCUAGGUGGUGGAUGCACGUGAUGGUGUGCUCAUACUUGGUCCGGCGGCACACUGUUCUAGUGGGGCUGAAGUUUAGUACUCCCUCCAUCCUAAAAUUCUUGUCUUAGAUUUGUCUAGAUACGGAUGUAUCUAAUGCUAAAAUAUGACUUGGUACAUCCGUAUUUAGACAAAUCUAAGACAAGAAUUUUGAGAUGGAGGAAGUAGUUAUUAAAUCGUUAGCACCACAUAAAAACAUUCCCCCUAGCCUUCUUCCCUAAUCAAAGAUUGGAGAAAGAAGAUCUAAGAGGGCGUGCCCCAUCCUACUCAGGUCAGAGCGUAAGCUAGUGAUGCUUUUGGCUACUAGACUUUAGUCAUCUAGGGUGCGGCACUCAGCCACUUCGCCUAGCAACACAACGACUGUAUUGCUCUCCCACAACUCCGUUUUCAUGGUUUAGGCUGCUUCCAUUUUCGCUCGCGUUGAAUUAAGAAUUCUCACAGUAACAAGGUCUACUCAAUGUUAAUUAGGCGUAAAUGAAACUUUAGCAAAAAUCUUGUAAAACAAAAAAAGGGAUAUUCAAUUACCCUAUGUUUGUUUUCAAAGCACAAAGAGUUCUUGACAAGAUUCGCUGGCGUUACUACAAAGAGAAUUAGCGAAUCCUAAGGCAAAGGGGCGAGAAACUCAAGGCCACUCUUCCUCCGGGCUUUCUUUCCGCACUGGUGAAAUAAAGUCGGGUGAAUUAGUCGAAUUUGCAGGGAUCUUGGCGGAGGCUUCCCGGAUAAAUAGUAACGAUCAGUCGAAGAACACCAUGCAUUGAUGGGUGUUGAAGAAAAAUUGAGCGUUUCUUGUCACAACCUUUCUUUGUGCGAUUGAUUUCCCAUUCUUCUUUGCUAGCACUUGACUCCUGAGAGCUGCAUCCGUGGGAUAUCUUCAACAAGGCAUGUUACUCGCGUCGUGAUUAUUGCUCGCCAUGCGACAUGACUCGCAUGUGAGACAUCCUAGCUUCCCAUUCGCAACUUCUAGCCUCGCCGACUCGGUGGUGGUCGGUUUGGUUGCCCUCUCGGAUGGCCCCCGACGGCAUAAGACGGCUUGAGGCGAUGUGUGUACAACUACUUGAGGAAGUGGUGAAGGUUGUGGAGCAUCAGUAGUCUUGAGCAUAGCCGUUGAGGGAAUCGCCUGAUCGGAUUUCUUACUCCUUGGUAUGUCGGACGGUGAUUUGCUGCCACAUGCGAGGAAAAUGGAGCAAGAGGUGAUGUAUGGUGGUGUUGUCUGUUAUAGAUUUGCCAUUAUUUGCCACCUCGAAGGUGGGAGGACGGCGAGGGAUGACCAAAGUGUCUCGAAUUGGGAUUUUGGCAGUGUUAAUGUCCUCCUCCCUUGUAUAUGGCUUCAUCGCGUGUGCCAUAAUGACCAUUCCUUGUGUCGCCCUUUGUGUGGUGAGUAGCUCUUUCAUGAUUGUAUUGUCCUCUUGUGCAUGCAUGUUCAUGUUUUGUGUGGAGUCUCACGCCAUGACCAUGCAUCGUAUCUUGAUCCUUGUAAUGCGGAAAGUGGAAGUGACAGCACAUGUCGACUUCUCGAGUAUCCGGUCUCGAGCUCUAGGUUGAAAACGUAGGUCUAACCUUAGUUGAGCAUACCUGACAAUAACAACGUUUUGCAUCGUUAACUUGUCAAAUGCUUUACUUGGAGCUUAUUUAGACUUGUUCUUUAGGUUGAAAAUGCACGAUCUAGCCUUUGAUGGUUGGAUUCGGGGAUAGUGGCGCUUGCACGUCAUUCCCUUUCUAAGACGUUGCUUUUUUAAGAAUCUUAUUCGUAGUCACUGUAUUGUCAAGAUAUGAUUGGUGCCGAUGGUCAUUGCUGGAUUUUGUCGAUCGCCGUUUUGAUCGCUUCGGGGGUCUUUUAUUUUUCUUUUUUCCGCCUUGGCAUAGCUUCGAUCAUGUAUGACUUUGAUCUUGUUGGUGAGAUCUUUUGUGUGUUAUCUCUUUGAUGCUUCAUUAUGAGUCAAUAAAAUCAUCAUUUGUCAAAAAAUCAAGCAUACUAUAUAAAAAAGUUUUCAAGGGAUUUUUCCCUUUUAAGCCGGUUUCCUGGGGAUUUCGAUUUUCUAAAUUCAUAAGAAGGUCCUUUGAAUCAAAUACGCCCUAAUUUUGAGAAGACGGUACGCUAUAUGGUAUCUUUUAAAAAAAAGGAAUCACCCCCGGCCUCUGCAUCUGGGUGAUGCAUGCGGCCAUAUUAUUUAUUAUCCACAAAGACCUUACAAAGUAAUACAACAGUAAGCCCAAAGCCAUCAUGUAGACGACACAUGUCGCUACUCCUAUCCUCUUGAUGAAGGGGUGCCGAAUGUCCGGGUCAAAUACCAAACAGACAUCACACGAAAGCCUAACAUCUAACGUUGGAUGCCCCAUCCAAGCAACAUAGGCGGGACUGGGUAACACUCCGGUCUGGCGCACUCUCAGUGAGUAUCACACGCACAUGCUGCAAAGGGCCGUCACCUCCGUCUUCCCUCGAUCCAUCCUCAAAGCAUUUACUGACACAUCGACCUUGUCGGGCUUCUCUGCCAUCGAUGCCACCACGACGCCAUACAACGUCGACCUCCUACGCAUGUCCCUCGCCACACAUCUGACGCCAAGCCUCCACUGCUCCAUGCCGUCGAGAACCGCUGCCAUGAAUAUGUAGAAAAAAACACCACUCCACCGUAGAUGCCAUCCGCUGGUCCCUCCAGCCCGAGUGCAUCUCCAAGAAUGCCGCCCCAAGGGGUAACGACACAUGAAUGCCGCCGUCAUCCGAUCAACUGAUCUAGGGUUUACCCCGGAGGUAUUGGGUGGGGUUGGGAGCUUCACCUCGAUGAUGCCUUCAUGAAGGAAAAAAUGAUAAGGACAUCGUCAUCACCGGCUCCGGCCAAUGACCGAAGACCAAGUUUUCACCCGGAUCCGUCCCAAAAAAUCCACCCGACAACCCGUGCACUGUCUCGACCGCCUUCAGAGCCCCAGAUCUAGCCGCCUAGAUCCGGCGACCAACCGCAACAACAGUGCCACCGUAGGAGCCCUGGCGCACCGGCCACUGCCUGAAUGCGCCACCACUGGAGCCUGGGAGGAGGGCUCCCACCCCACCUUGCCAAACCGCGAGAGCCGCCGAGAUGGAUCCGGUACGCUCAUCACCGUCUCUGAUCUGAACCAAUCCGUGGCAAAACCGCGAGAUCGCCGAUGCAGAUCCGCCUUGGAUAGGGACUGCACCACGCCAUGUCGCUGCGGAAAGCCCGAGCUUCACCCGCCGCCACCUUCCAACGCCGCCACCCCAGGGAUCCAGCCGCCACCGACAGGACGUGCCACCCACGUGCAGCAUGCGGGAGGAGCCCCUCGAUCCAGAUCUGAACCGAGAAGAUCACCACAGCCGCCCCCGUGCCGGCACGCCCCGCCUGGCCGCGAAUCUGCAGCCACCCGCGCCUUCGCGCCACAGAGCCGCCAUCCAGCCGCAGCCGCGCCACGCCGCCCUGCAUAGCUGCGCGCAUCCGCGCGAGGGCGCUAUCCCGCGCCUGCUCCACACCGCGCCGAACGGAGGAGGGCCCGCCGCCACCGACGUCGGCCGAGCUUUGCCCGGCAGCGUCAGGGAGGGGAAGGGGACGGUUUGGAGGCGGCGGCGCGUGCGUUCGCCCCCCGCCCCCUCGCGGGAGCGGGCUGGGCGAGACGUGCCACGCUAUAUGGUAUCUAAGCUUUGAAGGUAGGUUACACGAUUUCAUAUUACUAUUAUGGGGAUUCUAAUUCUAAUUCUCUUUGUAGUGCAGUAUUUGCAGUCCAGACUGUCUAGUGUGGUGAGCAUGCAAUGCACAGUGUGUAAUGAUUCAUAACUAAAUGACACUGGAAGGUAGUAAGUGGUAAUAACUAGACAUCGUUGUCUAUUCUAAAUUUCUACCGAACAGUAGAGUGCUGGCAGUAGCAAUAGUGGUGCAAGUUAACGAUCUCUUUCAGCUGGUAUAAUUGGGCAUGCAGGCUAACUGUCCCUGCCAGGCGCAGGUGAUUGAGUACCUCCGCCUGGGUUUAUUAAUCCUCACCUAGUCAUAUUUUGAUCAUAAAUUCAACUAAUAAAUUACAGGUUUUAUGUAGUAAGAUAAUAGCAUUCAAAACCCUUUUCGAAUACAAAUCUAGCGAUAUAAAGUUUAUGGUAUUUAACUUAAUUUUAUUAGUUAAAUUUAUGAUCAAAUUUUGAUCACUUACUACCUUUCAGUGCAUAACGGACGGCUAAAGCGUGCAGAUAAUAUCAAAAGAGGUCGGGGUAGACCGAAUUUGACAUGGGAAGAGUCCAUAAAAGGAGAUAUGAAGGAUUGGAGUAUCACCAAAGAACUAGGCAUGUACAGGGGUGCUUGGACGAUUGCUAUCCAUGUGCGAGAAUCAUUAGUUGGUCGCGAGAUCUUAUGAGUUUCACCUCUAGCCUACCCCAACUUGUUUGGGACCAAAGGCUUUGUUGUUGUUGUUGUUGUUGUUGUUGUUGUUGUUGUUGUUGUUGUUGUUGUUGUUGUUGUUGUUGUUGUUGUUUUGACCAUAAAUACGAGAGGGGACUUAUAAACCUUGACAGAGGAAGUACUAUAUGGACGCCAUGGCACUAGCGCACACAGGCGCGCAUGGAUGCGUCGGACUCAACAACGACGAACUUACGUCGUUAUCUUAUUGAAGGUGUAGUCUCUUUGCCAAGGUGUAAUGUGUUGGCUUUCAUUGGUUGGUCUUGAUAAUCAGGAUGAAAAUCCUUGUCCUUAGUGUUUUUAGCAGAAGUAAAGACAAAUGUGUUAAAUCGUGUAUCGCUUCUUGCAGGCGUUGUUAUGGAAAAUAUUUCGAUUUGGCCAUAGGUGUUAAAUUCAAAUCUUGCUUUUAGUGUACUGCAUGGUUUUCUCUAAUUUCUCGUGUAUUGCACGUGUCGUCUAGGUGUGUUAUGUAAGGUGAGCAAAAUGUAUUGCAUUUUGUGAAAGUGACUACCUCAUAGAGUACGUCUACAGAAAAGUACAAGUACACUACAAUAUGAAAUACAAAUACACUACGGUAGGAAGUACAAAUACAACACACACGGGGAAGUACAAAUAUACUACAAAGAACUACAAGUGCACUAGUGAGAAAGUAGAAGGACACUACACACUUGGAAGUGAAAGUAUACUACCGCAAGAAUUCAAGGACACUAUGUGAGUAGUUACAAAUAUACUGCAGUUGUAACUUAAAGUUGCAUCCAAAAAUGUUGGCAAAAUCUAUUAAUGUAAAUGGGCGUAUGGUCCCAAAGAUGUUUUGAUUAAAACUUAGAUCUUGCUAAUUGUCCAUGCUUUACAACAGGGCCAAAUAUAUUUUACUGGUUCACAUCAAUUGUGAAACGCAUAUACUUUCAUCCACUAUCUUCGCGUCCCCAAUACAACCUUAUCACCUAUGUCAAUGGCUCAUGCCACUCACAAACACUUUGGAUUUUAAACACAUAAUUGUGUAGUUGUGUAUAUGUGAAAAUUUUACCCGCAAAAACAAAGUGUAUAUGUGAAGAUUUCAAGAAGGAAAAAACCAAUACAUAAGGGGUCGUCAAUACCCACCUAGCCUCUGGCGACGAUAGGAUGAAAGGAAAAAAGAACGAAGACAUAGGAACCUAAUCUUGGUCUAGCAAAAGAAAAGGUAGAGAAAACAUGAGCUCGCUACACCGUAGAACAAAGAUUCUAUGGUUUCAGCUCAUAAGUGGACCCGAAGAUAUGGUAGAAAUCAUAUCGAAAGGAAGUGUGCCUCUUGAACAACUCACGGUGAAUAACAGUAUUAAGUUAAUUGGUAGUUAAAUGCUCUGAUAACCGAUUUCCUUUUAUAUUCUUAUGGACAUUACAUUUUAUGACAUUCUUCUUAAAAGCUGGUCUUUGCAUAGAACAUUUGCCUUUUCACAACAUUGAUGGGUCGCUAGGUCUUGGGAUUACUCGUAAGAAGAUUUAUAGUAGUAUAAAAUAAUACAAUAAUGGAUUAGACGGGACCAGGCCGGAUAUGUUAUUUCCAUGCAUGUGUUCCCAUAUUAGCGAUGGAAGGAGAUAUGUUGUCAUACAAAUAUAAUUACUCCCUCCGUUCCAAAAUAGAUGACUCAACUUUGUACUAAACUUAAUACAAAAUUGAGUCAUCUAUUUUGAAACGAAGGGAGUAGAUAGUAGGCUUCCAAUUUGCCAAACAAAAAAAAAGAUUAGUUUUCACAUUACUCAAAGAAGGCAAUGUGAUGACAGGAAAAUAAAACAGAAAACAAAUAAGUGGGAGGGGGUGAGAGUUGAUGAGAGAUGUGAUGUCGGCAAAAUAAAAUUGAAAAUAAAUCGGUGGGAUUAAUACGUUUCCAGUUUUCCAAACGAAAAAGGGAUUAGUUUUUAUAUUAUUCAAGGAAAGAGAUGUGAUGUAGGGCAAGUAAAAUUGAAAAUAAAUCAAUGGAAGGGGGUGGUAGCAAACGGGUGUACCAACUCUUGUUUUAAAUAGCAUCGUUUAGUAGCAAGUAGGAUGUCUAGAAUGUUUUCGUGCGAACAAAAAAAAAACACAUAUACAACUCCGUUAACAAUUUUUUUCAUGAAUCCAUUAACAUCGUAAACUGGUGCAUUUGCAACUCUGGUUUAAACUAAUCUUGGAUCAAUAGUUAAAAAAAGAAUCUAUAAGCACAGAACUAACAAUCUUACAAAGGAAGGUUCUAUUGUAACGUCACGUUGUAGCUCCAGGCAACCAAAUUUGGGUCUAACAAUCUCGCUCCGAUUGACCAUUGGUGACCGUCUCUCCUACCUCUGUUUCCAUAUAUGGAGCUAAAGAGGGCUAAGGGCAUCUGCGACGCGGACUCCAAUCUUCCCUAUAUGUCCUUCGCAGGAGUCUGGNNNNNNNNNNNNNNNNNNNNNNNNNNNNNNNNNNNNNNNNNNNNNNNNNNNNNNNNNNNNNNNNNNNNNNNNNNNNNNNNNNNNNNNNNNNNNNNNNNNNNNNNNNNNNNNNNNNNNNNNNNNNNNNNNNNNNNNNNNNNNNNNNNNNNNNNNNNNNNNNNNNNNNNNNNNNNNNNNNNNNNNNNNNNNNNNNNNNNNNNNNNNNNNNNNNNNNNNNNNNNNNNNNNNNNNNNNNNNNNNNNNNNNNNNNNNNNNNNNNNNNNNNNNNNNNNNNNNNNNNNNNNNNNNNNNNNNNNNNNNNNNNNNNNNNNNNNNNNNNNNNNNNNNNNNNNNNNNNNNNNNNNNNNNNNNNNNNNNNNNNNNNNNNNNNNNNNNNNNNNNNNNNNNNNNNNNNNNNNNNNNNNNNNNNNNNNNNNNNNNNNNNNNNNNNNNNNNNNNNNNNNNNNNNNNNNNNNNNNNNNNNNNNNNNNNNNNNNNNNNNNNNNNNNNNNNNNNNNNNNNNNNNNNNNNNNNNNNNGGACAUCUGUGUAGCCAACUAAAAGUCACGUUAGACAUCUGUACAUCUCUUCUCUCUCAACCGUGACAUGCAUAUGCAUAGAAGGACAUUUAGAGGACAUGGUUGGAUGGUCGGCUCCUACAUCAGUGUCAACAGAAUGGUCCCCACCGGUCCGCGGACAAAUAAUGUGUCUGGUUUAAGGGUCAGUGUCGGAGGUACCCUAAUGUCUCAACGGAUACCGUCGUUCCAUUCCUAUUUUUACCCUCGAAGAUUCCUGCUUAGGUACUCGUCCAAGGAGAGAAGGAUGGAAAGGUGAAUGUCAAACGAACAAGAUGAUUUUUUAUUAUUUUUUUGCGGAAAGAACGAACAAGAUGCUAACGGGCUCCUAUUUUUGUUUGAAGAAAGGUCAUUAUGGUUAGCUUUAUUGACUCAAAACACCAACAUCAUCCACAAGUUUGUUGACGACAAACCCAGGAGACUCAUCAACCCAAAUCUCACAAGUGUGACUAACGUGUGGUUAUCCUCCUUGUCUAUUAGUGGAUGUAACAGAAGUAGUGAGUAGUGAUGCAAACCGUUCAAAACACAUUUCAUUAUUGAUUGUAGUUAUAUGAAUGUCAUUCAUGAAAUUAAAAGAUUUCAGGCAGCAUCAACUAGGAACACAUUAACUAAAUGUCGAAGCACCGUAAGAAAAUCAGUGUCAGCCUUUCAGUCGAUUGCGUCCGAGCUUGGAAACGAAUGGCUGGAUUUGUUUGGCCUUUCUCCAACCAUUUGCCUAUAUCAGAAUGUUGUUUCAGUCGACUGCAGACAAUCAAUUUUUUUCUCUCCACCCCCUACUCUGCCUCGCCUCCGACAUGCUUAUGUACGAGCCCUCAAUGAUGUUACUGCGCUAGGUCAUCCCUAGCUCGAGGUCGACGGAUACCUAAUGCGAGCGGCAUCGAAAGCAAAAGGCCCCUAGCCGUACCAAUCAACAUUUGGCCUCGCAUCCGCCGGUGAUGCCGUGGCAGGCCGUGUGGUUCCCAUCUCCUACAAGGCCUGGGCUUGGCCUUGCUGAGGCCGAUGUGGCUAGCGCAUCACCCGAUCUCGGCUUCAGAUCGCCGUGUCGCACUGCUCCCUUUUUUUAAAUCGACUGAUCCAAAAUUUAUUUUUUAGUUGCAUGAGGAAUAGAAAAUUUGAUUAAAUAUGAUCGGUAAAAGGACAUAAUAUAAGGAACAGAUUUGCUAAUUCUCUAUAUGAGAAUUACAUCCGUCGGUCCGCAGACAAAUAGUGUGUCUGGUUUAGGGGUUGAUGUUGGAGAUGCCCUAAUGUCUCGGUGCAUACCGUCGUUCCAUUCCUACUUUUACCCUCGAAGAUUCCUGCUUAGGUACCCAUCUGAGGAAAGAAGGAUGGAAAGGAGAAUGUCAAACGAACGAACAAGAUGGUAACAGGCUUUUUUUUGGUUUGACAAAAGGUCAUCAUGGCUAGCUUUAUUGACUCAAAACAUCAUUACAUCAUCCAAAAGUUUGUUGACGAUAAACCCGGAGACUCAUCAACUAAAAUCUUAGAAGUGUGACUAAUGUUUGGUUAUACUCCUUGUCAUAUUAGUAGAUGUAACAGAAGUAGUGAGUAGUGAUGCAAAUCGUUCAAAACACAUUUCAUUAUGCAUUAUAGUUGUAUGAAUGUCAUUCAUGAAGUUAAGAGAUUUCAGGCAGCAUCAACUAGGAACACAUCAACUAAAUGUCGAAGCACCAUAAAAAACCAGUGUCAGACUUUUAGUCGAUUGCAUCCGAGCUCGGAAACAAAUGACUAGAUUUAUUUCGCCUUUCUCCAACCAUUUGUCUAUGGCGAGUGAUAGGCGCCGGUCCGCCAGCCAAACUUUUGGUCGGUUGCACCGCGUAUGCACGAUUAGCUUUAUUAUGGCCAUACAAUAGCUUUCUUGCCUAAACCGCUUUCUUAAAAAAAGCGAUGGCGCCUGUCCAUGGCGAUCAGUCCCGCACGUGAUCCUCCUCAACGCUAGGCAGCUCACCAGCCAUCCUCGCCACCGGUGGUCGCCGUCGCAACACCCAUCAUCGCAGGUCUGACAGGACGCCGUCGCCCCUUACAGGAAAACACCGCCUUCUUCAAGCACGCCUGACGCCUCUGUCGUUGCACCAACUAGCCGCCAUCGUCGUUAGCACGUCUGUCACAGCACCACCGUGUUGCCAGCCGCAGCUCUCGGCGUCACCGCUCACACCAUUGGCGUGCCGGUUGAAGCUUUUUCCUCCAUGCAGAUUGAAGCUUUUUUUUCAUCGCCGAUUGAAGCUUUUCAAACCAAUGGUUGAAGCUUUUUCUCAUGGGUUGAAGCUUUUCCAUCCAUGCUCGUUGAAGCUUUUUCAACAGCCGAUUGAAACUACGCCGAUUGAAGCUUUUACCUUGGUUGAAGCUUUUUUCCACUGGAUGAAGCUUUUCCCCAUGCCGGUGGCAGCAAUCGUCGAUGCCGGUUCCAGCAUAUGGAGACCACGAUCCCAACAAUGCCAAAUGCCGGUUCCAGCUCGUGGUGACCACGGUCCCAACAUUUGCCAAUGCCGGUUCCAACACAACCUGACCGCGGUUACAACAUCCAUCGUUGUCAGUCCAGCAUGUCACCAGUGGUUCGGUAGCUAUAGCACCAAGCUUGAUUUUGCAUCUGUGGGACCUACGACGAGCUCGAAGCAGCGGCAGUGGUUCACCAUGGCGGCAGAAAAAGAAGCCAUGGGGAUGGGAUUCACUCAGGAGGAAAGAGAUGCAUCGGCUGGGAUUUGGGAGGGGACGGGAUCCUAUGGGGGUACGAGCGCGGCCCCUGUCGAGUGGGAUCUGGUCUAGCCGGUUGACUUUCAGCGGCAUGACGUGUGCGUUGGUCACUUGUGGAGAGAGAAAGAGCUGGGAGAGGAAGAAUAGCGGUUGGCGAAUGGAUAAGGCCGUGGAUGCAUGGCUAGGAAAGAGUGUGUUGCACGUGGGUCUGGACGCGUGGACGAGCGACCUGGCGCAACAAGGAUCGCUCAAUCAAAAUGGAUCGCACGCCCCACGCGCGACCGGUGGAAGACUCGGCCGGCAUGCCGGGUAUAAAGUUUCCCUUUGUCUAUAUCAGAACACAGUUUUAGUCGAUUGCGACCGGUCAGAUUUUUUUCUCCACUCCCUACCCUGCCUCGCCUUCGACUGACUUAUGUACGAGCCCUCAUUUAUGUUACUACGCUAGGUCAUCCCCAGCUCAAGGUCGACAUAUACCUAAUCCGAGCGGCACCAAAAGCAAAAGGCUCCCGACCGUGCCGGUCAACACUUGGGCCUCGCAUCUGCCGGCGGUGCCGUGGCAGGCUGUGUGGUCCCCAUCUCCGACAAGGUAGGGGCUUGGCCUUGCUGAGGGCGAUGUGGCCGGCACAUCACCUGAUCUCGGCCUCAAAUAACCGUGCCGCACUGCUCACUUUUUUGAAAUCGACUGAUCAAAAAUUUGUUUUUAGUUGCACGAGGAAUAUCAAAUUUGAUUAAAUAUGGAUCGGUAAAAGAACAUAAUAUAAGGAACAGAUUUGCUAAUUCUCUAGAUGAGAAUUAACAUAGUCUUAUCUAAAUCUUAUAUCAUUUGAUUACUCAAAGUAAGAAGGAAAACGUCUCUAGAGAAUUAACAAAGUCUUAUCUAAAUCCUAUAUCACUUGAUUACUCAAAGUAAGAAGGAAAAAAUCACGCGAACCUUCACGUAAAAUCAAAUGGUAUUGGAGUUAGACGAGACAUAGUUAAGAGGGUGCUUGGAUACGUUUUAAUCUCAUGACUAAAAGUAGUGGGACUAAAACUUGCUAGCCUCACCCAUGUUUGGAUCCAAAUACUAAAGAAACUAAAAUCAAGUUAAUGAGCAUCUAUUAUCCUCCAAACCCUUCAAUUCAGAACUCGCCUGUGUUAAAGGAGAGGAGUUAAAUGAAGAGAGAAAGGACUAAUCCACAUUUCAGUAAGGGUACCCCUGACUAAAAAAAUUUAGUCUCAAGACUAGUUUUAGCCCCCUCUUUAGUUAAGGGUGUUUAAAACUUUAGCCUUUUAAAAAGACUAUUUUAGUCAAACUAAAAUAAGUUUCUUGGAUCCAAACCCCCUCUAGAGUCUCGUUUCGUUGAAGUGAUCUGAUAUCCAUCGAGAGGCCAGUGGGCGUGUCACGCGUCCGCCCGUCUCACGUGAGGACGUUGGUCGGUUGGGCGCAGGCGCGCAGCCGUGAGAGGCAUUUUGCAGCAGGCAAUCGUCGCGUCAUCGUCACGUUGCGCGCUCGUCUCUCUCAACUUUUUUUUUUUAAAGGAGGUCAUCUCUCGGCCUCUACAUCGAAAAGAUGCAUGCGGCACGUUGCGCGCUCGUCUUCUCAACAUUUUUUUGAAAAAGGAGGUCAUCCCGACCUCUGCUCGUCUCCCCAGCUGCCCCGCUCCCCGCUCGAUCGAUCGCUAGCUGGCUGCCGGCCGAGUGAGCGCGCGUACGUGGCGAUGGGCUUCGGGCGACAGCAGCGCAUGGUAGACGUCCAUGCAUGCCUCUUAACUCUAGACGUCUUCGCUCCGAAGGCGACAAGUACGUACUCACUAAACAGCUCGAUCGAUGGCGCGUACGCUUGGCCCCAAGUCAACUUAAUUGAAUUCGUACGCUGUACCGGCAAGCUCAGUGACGGGACGACGAUGUGAUCGUAUGCGGAGCCAAACCAUGCCGAUGUGCACUGCAUCUGAGUCACUCUGAGGGAGGCCGAGGUUGAUGUGGGGAUUACUCCCGAGUCCACUCGCUUGAUCGCUACGGCAAGCGUAUAUGUGACCGACGCUUGGUUCUCUCCCGCCCGUACGUCAUAAUGAGACGGCGGGCCGGCUUUAACGCAGGACGGACGGACGGACGGACAAGAGAGCGCUCCCAUCGAUCGAUCGCCACGACGUCGACACCUGCACUGCAUCGCCGUUGCUGCGGCAAAGAAGGAAUAGCAAGUUGGCUUUGAUUGCAGACGCAAAACUUUCUAUUCCUUUGCAAUAUACGUGUUAGGCCAACUCCACCGUACAAUCUCAAACGAACGUUUGGUUUGACCAGAUUUUGUCCCUUUGAGGUGGCAAUGAGUUUACCCACGUCCACCUCUAUUCGUUGGGUCGUGGAUGCGCCUAACGCGCGGCCGUAUCUUAAAUCAUGUCUGGGAUGAGCAUGAUAAAAUAACAAAAAAAACA